GAAGAGUGCCGACCCGGUUAGCC
rnacentral:miRNA from 1 species